AACGAACGCUGGCGGCAUGCCUAACACAUGCAAGUCGAACGAGACCUUCUGGUCUAGUGGCGCACGGGUGCGUAACGCGUGGGAACCUGCCCUUAGGUUCGGAAUAACUCCCCGAAAGGGGUGCUAAUACCGGAUAAUGUCUUCGGACCAAAGAUUUAUCGCCUUUGGAUGGGCCCGCGUUGGAUUAGCUAGUUGGUAGGGUAAAAGCCUACCAAGGCGACGAUCCAUAGCUGGUCUGAGAGGAUGAUCAGCCACACUGGGACUGAGACACGGCCCAGACUCCUACGGGAGGCAGCAGUGGGGAAUAUUGGACAAUGGGCGAAAGCCUGAUCCAGCAAUGCCGCGUGAGUGAUGAAGGCCUUAGGGUUGUAAAGCUCUUUUACCCGGGAUGAUAAUGACAGUACCGGGAGAAUAAGCUCCGGCUAACUCCGUG
rnacentral:rRNA from 1 species